rnacentral:rRNA from 1 species
UACGUAGGGUCCGAGCGUUGUCCGGAAUUAUUGGGCGUAAAGAGCUCGUAGGCGGUUUGUCGCGUCUGCUGUGAAAUCCCGAGGCUCAACCUCGGGUCUGCAGUGGGUACGGGCAGACUGGAGUGCGGUAGGGGAGAAUGGAAUUCCUGGUGUAGCGGUGGAAUGCGCAGAUAUCAGGAGGAACACCGAUGGCGAAGGCAGUUCUCUGGGCCGCAACUGACGCUGAGGAGCGAAAGCGUGGGGAGCGAACAGG